rnacentral:rRNA from 1 species
CGCUGGCGGCACGCCUAACACAUGCAAGUCGAACGGAGAUAUUUGGUUUACUGAGAUAUCUUAGUGGCGGACGGGUGAGUAACACGUGAGCAACCUGCCUUUGAGAGAGGGAUAGCUUCUGGAAACGGAUGGUAAUACCCCAUAACGUAUACUUAAGGCAUCUUAUGUAUACCAAAGAUUUAUCACUCAAAGAUGGGCUCGCGUCUGAUUAGAUAGUUGGUGAGGUAACGGCUCACCAAGUCGACGAUCAGUAGCCGGACUGAGAGGUUGAACGGCCACAUUGGGACUGAGACACGGCCCAGACUCCUACGGGAGGCAGCAGUGGGGAAUAUUGCACAAUGGGGGAAACCCUGAUGCAGCGAUGCCGCGUGGAGGAAGAAGGUUUUCGGACUGUAAACUCCUGUCUUAAAGGACGAUAAUGACGGUACUUUAGGAGGAAGCUCCGGCUAACUACGUGCCAGCAGCUGC